UUAAAUUUUGCUGUGAACCUAAAACUGCUCAAAAAAUAAGUUUAUUCACUUUUUUAAAGGAGGAAUAAAGGAACUGAGCAUUCUGCCCUCUGACAAAAGGUGAAAUGACAAGAACUAUCAAGCUGAAUGAACUCCCCAGGAGAUGGAAGAAAUCAC
rfam:Camelus ferus unplaced genomic scaffold scaffold1783, whole genome shotgun sequence.